UACGUAGGUGGCGAGCGUUGUCCGGAUUUACUGGGCGUAAAGGGCGUGCAGGCGGUUUGGUAAGUGCAGGGUGAAAGCUCCCGGCUCAACUGGGAGAGGUCCUUGCAUACUGGCGAACUCGAGGGAGGCAGAGGAAAGUGGAAUUCCCGGUGUAGUGGUGAUAUGCGUAGAUAUCGGGAGGAACACCUGUGGCGAAGGCGGCUUUCUGGGCCUUACCUGACGCUGAGACGCGAAAGCGUGGGGAGCGAACCGG
rnacentral:rRNA from 1 species